UUGGCUUCAAUCAAUGUGGGUCCUACGUUUUGAAAAUGAAACCCACAGUGGUGGGACAUACAUUGAUUUCACCCAA
rnacentral:pre_miRNA from 1 species